ACGAAUCGAGUUAUUCGAAUCAACUCGAUUUUUUUUCGAAUUUCGAGUUCGAAUCGAGUUGAGUUUUUGAAUUCGAAUAACUCAAAUAAUUCGAAUAAUUCGAAUAUCAAACUAAAAUAUUUUACAUUUUUACCCCAAACUCCCAAACCUUUUUACUUUUCCCUCAAAAUUUUUACUCCCUUCCACUUCCCCCCAAAACUUUUACUCCCCUCCCCUCCCAACCCCCCAAUCUACCCAAAAUCCAUUUCCCACCAAAAUUUUACUUUCCCAUUUACUUUUUCUCAAAAUUUUACUCCCAAAAACCCUCAAAACCUUUUAUUUUCCCCCAAAAUUUUUACUCCCUCCUACUUUUCCCCUAAAACUUUUAUUCCCUUCCCAUCUCACCUCCCAUCUAUCCCAAACCCCC
rnacentral:lncRNA from 1 species